GUAUUGAAGGUGUUUAAUGAUUGAGUUGUUCUGUGGACCGCUGGACUCUCAUAAACUCAUCUGAACAGAACUGAGCCGGCCAGUAAACUGAAAUGAACCACACACACACACACACACACACACCAUCUCUGAAACAGAAACGAGGAAGACUCUUGUGUUUUAAGCUAGUGCUAUUGAAUGUCUGUUCAUGUACUUCAUCUGAUUUUAUCAUUGGCAGAAUCUGAAAAAUAAAGAGUACAGACAGAUUAA